rnacentral:rRNA from 1 species
AGUGAACGCUGGCGGUAGGCCUAACACAUGCAAGUCGAACGGCAGCACAGGAGAGCUUGCUCUCUGGGUGGCGAGUGGCGGACGGGUGAGGAAUACAUCGGAAUCUACUCUGUCGUGGGGGAUAACGUAGGGAAACUUACGCUAAUACCGCAUACGACCUACGGGUGAAAGCAGGGGAACUUCGGGCCUUGCGCGAUUGAAUGAGCCGAUGUCGGAUUAGCUAGUUGGCGGGGUAAAGGCCCACCAAGGCGACGAUCCGUAGCUGGUCUGAGAGGAUGAUCAGCCACACUGGAACUGAGACACGGUCCAGACUCCUACGGGAGGCAGCAGUGGGGAAUAUUGGACAAUGGGCGCAAGCCUGAUCCAGCCAUACCGCGUGGGUGAAGAAGGCCUUCGGGUUGUAAAGCCCUUUUGUUGGGAAAGAAAUCCAGCUGGCUAUACCCGGUUGGGAUGACGGUACCCAAAGAAUAAGCACCGGCUAACUUCGUGCCAGCCGCCGCCGUAA